GACGAACGCUGGCGGCGUGCUUAACACAUGCAAGUCGAACGGAAAGGCCCUGCUUUGGUGGGGUGCUCGAGUGGCGAACGGGUGAGUAACACGUGAGUAACCGUCCCGUGACUGUGGGUAAACUUCAGGAAACUGGGUCUAAUACCGGAUAGGAGCUCCGGCUGAAUGGGGGGGGUUGGAAAGUUCGGGCGGUUGGGGUUGGAGUCGGGGCUUUUCAGCUUUUUGGUGGGGUAGGGGCUUACAAAGGCUUUGACGGAUAGCCGGCAUGAGAGGGUGACCGGCCACAUUGCGACUGAGAUACGGCGCAGACGCCUACGGGAGGCAGCAGUGGGGAGUAUUGCCCAAUGGGGGGACGCCUGAGGCAGAAACGCCGGGGGCGGGAUGACGGCCUUCGGGUUGUAAACCGCUUUCGCCUGUGACGAAGCGUGAGUGACGGUAAUGGGUAAAGAAGCACCGGCUAACUACGUG
rnacentral:rRNA from 1 species